AAAGCCCUUAGAAAUAAUGAUGGACUCAGUAAGCCCCUCUGCCCCCAGAAUGUGGUAGCUAAUUCAAUAUCCCUGUACAUUUAAAAACCUGUACACUGUGUUCAUAGCAGCUUUACUCAUAAUAGCCAAAAACUGGAAACAACCUAAAUGUCCUUCAACAGGUAAAGAGUUCAACUAUGGUACAGCCAUACCAUAGAAUACUACUCAGCAAUCCAAAGAAACAAAUUAUUGAUCCAAACAACAAGGUGAAGGAGUUGCCAGGUUAUUAUAUUGAGCAAAAAACCAAUCCCAAAAAAUUACAUGAUGUAUGGUUCCUUUUAUAUAACAUUUUAGAAAUGACAAAAGUUUAGAAACAGAAGACAGAUCCAGUGGUUGCCAAGCGUUAGGGCCGAAGUGAAAGAGGUGGCUGGAGGGAGGUGGGUGUGGUCAUAAAACGUCUGCACCAGUGAUCCUUUGGUGCUGGAACUGUACAUUUCUUACACUGUGGUGGUGAAUACAGGAACCUACCCAGGUGUUAAAAUUGUACAGAGCCUAAUGCACACAAAAAGAGUACAAAACUAGGAAAUCUGAAUAAGAUUGGUGGAUUAUAUGAAUGUCAGUAUCCGGGUUGUGAUAGUAUAGUAUAGUUUUGCAAAAUGUUACUGUGUUAGUUCAUUCGGGCUGCUCUCACAGAAUACCACAGACUGAUGGCUGUGAACAAAAAUUUGUUUCUCACAGUGCUAGCAGCUGGGAACUCCAAGAUCAAGGUACUGGCAGAUUUGGUGUCUAGUGAGGAACCGCUUCCUGGUUCAUGGAUGGCCAUCUCACUGUGUCCUCACAUGGUGGAAGGGGCAACAAGGGAGCUCUGUGGGGUUUCUUUUAUAAGGGCACCUAAUCAUCUCCCAACGGCCCCACUUCCAAAUACCAACACAUUGGGGAUUAGGUUUCAACAUAAGAAUUUGCGGGGGACACAAAUAUUCAGUCUAUAGCAGUGUUACCGAAUCAGGUUCGUUUUUGCCCACCAACCAGAGAGCCAAACACCGAGAUAACAAGAUUGUAGCAGAGAGAGGGUUUACUCACAAGGCAGCCACGUGAGGAAGUGAGAGCAUGAGCCUCAAAUUCACUUCCCUGAAAAUAGGGACUCAGGGAUAUUUGUGGGAUGGGGGCAAGGUGGUCUGAAAUGUGGAGAGAGGUGAUUGGAGGUGAGGAGAGGUGAGGUAACUGAUGAUCUGUGCAGGCGUAGUCAGAC
rnacentral:lncRNA from 1 species